GAGUUUGAUCUUGGCUCAGAUUGAACGCUGGCGGCAUGCCUUACACAUGCAAGUCGAACGGCAGCACGGGAGCUUGCUCCUGGUGGCGAGUGGCGAACGGGUGAGUAAUGCAUCGGAACGUAUCCUGGAGUGGGGGAUAACGUAGCGAAAGUUACGCUAAUACCGCAUAUUCUGUGAGCAGGAAAGCGGGGGACCUUCGGGCCUCGCGCUCUUGGAGCGGCCGAUGUCGGAUUAGCUAGUUGGUGAGGUAAAGGCUCACCAAGGCGACGAUCCGUAGCAGGUCUGAGAGGAUGAUCUGCCACACUGGAACUGAGACACGGUCCAGACUCCUACGGGAGGCAGCAGUGGGGAUUUUGGACAAUGGGGGCAACCCUGAUCCAGCCAUGCCGCGUGAGUGAAGAAGGCCUGGUU
rnacentral:rRNA from 1 species